rnacentral:rRNA from 1 species
CGACCGGCGCACGGGUGAGUAACACGUAUCCAACCUGCCUUACACUCUUGGACAGCCUUCUGAAAGGGAGAUUAAUACAAGAUGUUAUCAUGAGUAAGCAUUUUCACAUGAUUAAAGGUUUACCGGUGUAAGAUGGGGAUGCGUUCCAUUAGAUAGUAGGCGGGGUAACGGCCCACCUAGUCUUCGAUGGAUAGGGGUUCUGAGAGGAUGGUCCCCCACAUUGGAACUGAGACACGGUACCAA